rnacentral:lncRNA from 1 species
CUUGGUAUUCAUUGGCAUAUUUCAUACAAUCUUCCAACAUCUUUGGCAAAUAAAACACAUAUUUACUGAUUGAUCAUUGCAUCUUGUGGCCUACUUGAUGAGCUCCAUUUCCUUCAUAAACUUCACAUGUCAUUAGUAUGGACUCCUCUUCACCAAGACAUCUCAGUAUUAAUCCAUCUAAUUGUUUCUUAUAUAGCUUGUCACCUAUUAAUACACAAUUCAUGGCCCUCAACUUCGCCUUCCUCUCAAUCUUGGCUGAAGAAUCUAUCAAAUAUUAGAUGAUAAGGUACCCCUAAUCUCCCUUGUCGACAUCUAGGGCAUAUAUCUCACAUGAUGUUGGUACAUCAACCUGCCUUUCAAAUAUAGGUGAUAGUAAUCUUUUCUCGAUAGUAAUAAAUUUAACAUAGAUAUUUUCAAGUAUUUUGACUCCUGAAGAUGUCUAUGCUAAUUCAUUAGCUUCCUAGAUUUUGACUCAGGUAACAAACUUCAAAAUUACCUCAACCAAACUCUCGAUCAAUUUUAUUGCCUCCAUGUGAUUUCUCACGAGCAUCUCACUAUAACACUUAUAUUCUC